GAUGAGGUGGCCAAGUGGUUAAGGUGAUGGACUGUUAAUCCAUUGUGCUCUGCACACAUGGGUUUGAAUCCCAUCCUCAUCA
rfam:Alligator mississippiensis ScZkoYb_106, whole genome shotgun sequence.